UACAGAGGGUGCGAGCGUUGUCCGGAAUCACUGGGCGUAAAGGGCGCGUAGGCGGCUUGAUAAGGUUGCGGUGAAAGCCCGGGGCUCAACCCCGGGUCGGCCGUGGCAACUGUCGAGCUGGAGCACUGUAGAGGCAGGUGGAAUUCCGGGUGUAGCGGUGGAAUGCGUAGAGAUCCGGAAGAACACCGGUGGCGAAGGCGGCCUGCUGGGCUAUGGCUGACACUGAGGCGCGACAGCGUGGGGAGCAAACAGG
rnacentral:rRNA from 1 species